GGGGAUUUAGCUCAGCGGCAUAAGCGCCUGCCUUGCAAGCAGGCAGUCGUGAGUUCGAUCCCUGGUACCCCCC
rnacentral:tRNA from 1 species